rnacentral:rRNA from 1 species
AUUGAACGCUGGCGGCAGGCCUAACACAUGCCAGUCGAGCGGAGCGGCGGACGGGUGAGUAAUGCCUAGGAAUCUGCCUGGUAGUGGGGGAUAACGUCCGGAAACGGGCGCUAAUACCGCAUACUAUCAGAUGAGCCUAGGUCGGAAUAGCUAGUGGGUGGGGUAAAGGCCUACCACGGCGACGAUCCGUAACUGGGCUGAGAGGAUGAUCAGUCAAACGGGAACUGAGACACGGCCCAGACUCCUACGGGAGGCAGCAGUGGGGAAUAUUGCACAAUGGGCGCAAGCCUGAUGCAGCCAUGCCGCGUGUAUGAAGAAGGCCUUAGGGUUUGAAAGUACUUUCAGCGGGGAGGCGUUACCCGCAGAAGAAGCACCGGCUAACUCCGUGCCAGCAGCCGCGGUAAUUC